rnacentral:rRNA from 1 species
UACGGAGGGUGCAAGCGUUAUCCGGAUUCACUGGGUUUAAAGGGUGCGUAGGUGGGGCGAUAAGUCAGUGGUGAAAGCCUGCAGCUCAACUGCAGAAUUGCCAUUGAUACUGUCGCUCUUGAGUUCAGUUGAAGCGGGCGGAAUGUGUCAUGUAGCGGUGAAAUGCUUAGAUAUGACACAGAACACCGAUCGCGAAGGCAGCUCGCUAAGCUGAUACUGACACUGAGGCACGAAAGCGU